rnacentral:rRNA from 1 species
AGAGACAGCAGUCGCCGCGGUAAUACGUAGGUGGCAAGCGUUGUCCGGAAUUAUUGGGCGUAAAGCGCGCGCAGGCGGAUAGGUCAGUCUGUCUUAAAUGUUCGGGGCUUAACCCCGUGAUGGGAUGGAAACUGCCAAUCUAGAGUAUCGGAGAGGAAAGUGGAAUUCCUAGUGUAGCGGUGAAAUGCGUAGAUACUAGGAAGAACACCGGCGGCGAAGGCGGCUUACUGGACGACAACUGACGUUGAGGCUCGAAGGCGUGGGUAGCAAACAGGAUUAGAUACCCCUGUAGUCCCUGUCUCUUAUACA